CCCUUAGAUUUUCUGGGCCGCACGCGCGCUACACUGAUGCAUUCAACGAGUCUAAAACCUGGUCUGAUAGGGCUGGGUAAUCUUUUGAAUGUGCAUCGUGAUUGGGAUAGAUGAUUGCAAUUCUUCAUCUUCAACGAGGAAUGCCUAGUAAACGCAAGUCAUCAGCUUGCAUUGAUUACGUCCCUGCCCUUUGUACACACCGCCCGUCGCUCCUACCGAUUGAAUGUUCCGAUGAAUACCAUGGACUGAGAGUAUGAAUGGGUUCGCCUAUUUCUGCUUCUCGGGAAGUGGAGUAAAUCUUAACAUUUAGAGGAAGGAGAAGUCGUAACA
rnacentral:rRNA from 1 species